UUGGAUCAAUGGGGAUAAUGCGGAGCCCCAGCAUCUAAUUUCAUCCGUGAAGACUCCACUCGUACGCGCCUGCUGCUGUUGCUGGAAUAAACACUAUGAGUUACUGUCGACGAUGGGCCUGCUUUCUAAAAACAACCUGUUGAAAGUGUUUCUCCAUGACCCUGCCUCCUGGUAAAUGUUUAUGGGAGAUAUUAUUUCGCCGCUCGGUUGCCAUGGCAGAAAGGGAAGGUGUCUGCGCGGUGUCCACUUUUCUUCACAUGGCGCUUUUCUCGCUCUGAACGCAGUCUGCAUGUAAAUAUAUUGGAGAUAAACCGCUUCACAUCGUACUGAGGAACUCUGGGAGAGUUUGACAACGUGGGACAUCGAGUGCAUAACUGGUUUUCGCCUGAAUAAGAGCAAAACAGCAACGAGGCCACCGAAGAGGCUGUUUUCUUGGGCAAAGCACCACUAAUUUCUAACAUUCUCCUUUGUUUGUGUUAACAGACAG